AGCGGCGAACGGGUGAGUAACACGUAGGUGAUCUGCCCAUCAGACGGGGACAACGAUUGGAAACGAUCGCUAAUACCGGAUAGGACGAAAGUUUAAAGGUGCUUCUGGCACCGCUGAUGGAUGAGCCUGCGGCGCAUUAGCUAGUUGGUAGGGUAAAGGCCUACCAAGGCGACGAUGCGUAGCCGACCUGAGAGGGUGAACGGCCACACUGGGACUGAGACACGGCCCAGACUCCUACGGGAGGCAGCAGUAGGGAAUCUUCGGCAAUGGGCGAAAGCCUGACCGAGCAACGCCGCGUGAAUGAUGAAGGCCUUCGGGUUGUAAAAUUCUGUUAUAAGGGAAGAACGACUUUAGUAAGAAAUGGCUAGAGUGUGACGGUACCUUAUGAGAAAGCCACGGCUAACUACGUGCCAGCAGCCGCGGUAAUACGUAGGUGGCGAGCGUUAUCCGGAAUUAUUGGGCGUAAAGAGCGCGCAGGUGGUUGAUUAAGUCUGAUGUGAAAGCCCACGGCUUAACCGUGGAGGGUCAUUGGAAACUGGUCGACUUGAGUGCAGAAGAGGGAAGUGGAAUUCCAUGUGUAGCGGUGAAAUGCGUAGAGAUAUGGAGGAACACCAGUGGCGAAGGCGGCUUCCUGGUCUGUAACUGACACUGAGGCGCGAAAGCGUGGGGAGCAAGCAGGAUUAGAUACCCUGGUAGUCCACGCCGUAAACGAUGAGUGCUAAGUGU
rnacentral:rRNA from 1 species